GCUGGCUGAGCUUAUAACUACGUGAUUUCCUCCUUCAUAUAAACAAGACGCUGGAGGGUAAAGAUAGAGUCCUCAGCUUCCUUCCCCACCUUCCGUCUGUAUUUUUAUAUUGCAGAGCUUUAACAAAGUCAUUUCUCUUUGGCUGGCUACAUACAGACUUCUCUCCUCUGGGUGAUGCUGAGCUCACUGAAAACAGGAAGAAGUUGGCUUGCUCACCGGACUGCCAAAACAAGUUUGAGGAGAGAGAAGUAAACACACCAGCCUUGCAACAGUAUCUGCCACACCUCCUACC
rnacentral:lncRNA from 1 species